rnacentral:rRNA from 1 species
AAAUUGAAGAGUUUGAUCAUGGCUCAGAUUGAACGCUGGCGGCAGGCCUAACACAUGCAAGUCGAACGGUAACAGGAAGCAGCUUGCUGCUUUGCUGACGAGUGGCGGACGGGUGAGUAAUGUCUGGCUGG